rnacentral:rRNA from 1 species
UACGGGGGGAGCAAGCGUUGUUCGGAUUCACUGGGCGUAAAGGGUGCGUAGGUGGUGGGGUAAGUCGGAUGUGAAAUCUCCGAGCUCAACUCGGAAACUGCAUUGGAAACUACCCUGCUAGAGGGUCGGAGGGGGGACUGGAAUACUUGGUGUAGCAGUGAAAUGCGUAGAUAUCAAGUGGAACACCAGUGGCGAAGGCGAGUCCCUGGACGACUCCUGACACUGAGGCACGAAAGCUAGGGGAGCAAACAGG